rnacentral:rRNA from 1 species
UACGUAGGUGGCAAGCGUUAUCCGGAAUUAUUGGGCGUAAAGCGCGCGCAGGUGGUUUCUUAAGUCUGAUGUGAAAGCCCACGGCUCAACCGUGGAGGGUCAUUGGAAACUGGGAGACUUGAGUGCAGAAGAGGAAAGUGGAAUUCCAUGUGUAGCGGUGAAAUGCGUAGAGAUAUGGAGGAACACCAGUGGCGAAGGCGACUUUCUGGUCUGUAACUGACACUGAGGCGCGAAAGCGUGGGGAGAAAC